GAUGCCAACUGCCAUAAAACUCAAAGAAGAAGAGGAAGAGGAAGAAGAAGAAGUAGAGGCUUUUUGAAAGUCAACCUUCCUCAGAUGUCUACCUGCAAGCCAGCAGAAGAGGUGUUAGUCCUGCGACGGAUUGGCAGCUGGUCAGAUGUGAUCUCCUGUCUACCAGCUCAACGUGGAUCGUGAUGGACGAUGGAUAAACCCUGGACAUGCAUAAGCAGAAGCUGAAAAAGACUGGGGAAGAGGAAUGUCUGCUGGCAGGUGUGAUUGUACCGCAACACAAUGUUAUCAUCCGGACACAGUUUUGUCGAACAUUUGGAGAAAAUCAUUCUGCUCGAUCUUUGACUGUCUGCUGGGCUGUGAGGCAGCUGUUGGGAGGCUCACCACCUGGUGAGCAGCUUUGAAGUACACUUUGAGGAUUAAAUUAUUCAUUCAGGAUGGCGACAUGUAUCCAGCUUGCCUGAGACUGUGGAGGAGAUUUUGCCUCCUGCAGCUCAGCUUUACCGGACAGUCUUUCAGCACUCCCAGCUCCAUGGAAAUACCGACUUUUCACAAAAGUCCAAAUUCUUUGUAGACAAGACUUAGUAAUAAAAUAGAACACAGUGUCUCCCCCACAGUCAAAAUGGAGAUUAUGAUUAUUAGCAUGAUAAAAUAAUAUUGUACAUGAAAUGUUUUAUGAUCCACGGCCUUUUCAGCAUGUCUGCAGGAUGUCCCCGAUAGAUUUGAAAAUGAUUGUGUCCACCAGGAGGCUUUGACGUUAAAAAGGAUCCUGCUUCAAUGAAAAUUAAGUAGGAUAUCCAGCUCUAACAAAAAAUAUUUCAACUCUUUAUUUUGACUUUUAAUGCAGCUACAGCACUUUGGAGAUAAAUCCUUGUGUGUUCACAAAGGUUUGAGGCUACAAAUAGAAAAAGCAAUUUAGAUUUUAUUAAUAAUGUGGAUGAUUGACAGGAAAUUAAAACAGGCCUGGACUGUGACAAGGAGACCCCGUAAAAAAACAAUUAUGCCAUUACUGAAUAUGUUUGCUUAUUUGAUGGUCUGCCUGUUACUGAGUGUUCAUUUCUGUAUGAAAUACAAAUACUGUGUACGCCUGGUUUGCUUAUAACUGUAAUCAAAUAUGUUACACAUUGUACAGUAUAUAUUCAUAGUCCAUUAUCACAAGAAAGGGAUAUUAUCAUUAUAAACUGUGCACCCCCUGAGACAACUCCAUAUUUUUUAAUCCACAAAUGGCAAACAAUUUCGACUGUGAUUGCAAUUUCUUGUGAUUUUUUCGUGUUUGAUUGUAGAAAUAAAAUCUGUAUUUUAAUGUUUUGUUCUGUUCUAACAGCUGGAGGGUUAUGGCAAUAAACAGCUUAAG